UGAUAAUAAUAAUAAUAAUUGAAAUAAAAAAGAUAUACACACAGAUGUACAGUAUAUAUCCAUAAACAUAUUCACAGGACACUCAACUUAUCUCUUAUAUCUUGUCCUACAUUAUCUAUUUUCCUUCACAGUUGUGAAUUAUAAAGAUUGUAAUGAUAUUAAUAGGCAGUCAACCGAGCAAGCUUUCUACAUUGACACCUUUGAAAUGACUGGCAUUUGGGGGAGCAAGAAAUGUGUGUAAAAUGUGUGUGUGCCAUAUGUGUGUGUAAUAUGUGUGUGUGAUGUGUGUGUCUUUCUGUCUGUCUAAACUUGAAAUGUUAUGCUGCCAUCCCAGAAGAGGGCUCUGUUCCUCGACCCAAUGGGGGAAAGUGCCGGAAAGAUAAAAAGAUGCCAGGUCAAGGUCAUUUUACAAUGGAAUGAAUAGUCUUCGAAAUGCUAUGCUGUUAUUUACCUCUAUAUUGUAAUCAAUAAAGUGUUUCAAAAUGCUGUACUUGUAUUAACAUAUAUGUUCAGAUCAUUCCUGAGAGAGAAGGGGGGUAAAAUCUCCAAAUGGGCGUGUGGUACCCUUCCUCACCCAUGCCAACAAGAGGCUACUUCUUGUGGAGUCUUUGCCUUGAAAAUGAUCUGAGCCAAAUGUGCCACUUCUGUGGGGAGGUGGACAAUAAUGAGGGAGGCUGAGUAAUUGCUUGUUCACUUCUAAAGGCACCUUUUUCCGAGUACGAAUUUGUAUAAGCAGUAAUAUUUCUAGAGGUAGUAUCGUCUGCUUUGUCUGGUAAUUAAAUAAUUGUAAUUCAAGAAAAUCUAUUUAAUGUUUUAAAUAUAUUAAACAUUUUUCAUCAUAAAUUUCAGAUUGGUUGUGACUGCUGCCCACGAUGGUUUAACCAGUCCUGUAUGAAAACCAUCCCAUAAUUGGAGGAUUAUGUCUGCGCUGCCUGUCAGGACUAGGUUAGCCUUGAGUUCCAGGCGACGGUAUCACCUGGAAAACUUUCCAUAAAAAGUGGACUAAAUGUUCAGUCAAGCUGUUGCAGCUUUCCAAUAUUUGUUUGUUAUUUAUUGUGUUUUUAUAUUUGAUUUAUUGUCAUUUUAUAUCUUAUUAUGCAAAGAUCGAAAUAUGUGUUUCUUAUUUAAUGUUUGUUUACAAACUUCACUUUCUGUGAUGUUUUUGUGUUAUUGGGUGAUAAUAUUUGUGUAUUAUCUUUAUUUUAAACAUUACAAAAUGUUUCUAAAAUAAAUGUUUAUGUUUCUUUAUACU